GACGUAGGGUGCGAGCGUUAAUCGGAAUUACUGGGCGUAAAGCGUGCGCAGGCGGCGCGUUAAGACAGGUGUGAAAGCCCCGAGCUUAACUUGGGAAUUGCGCUUGUGACUGGCGGGCUGGAGUGUGGCAGAGGGAGGUGGAAUUCCACGUGUAGCAGUGAAAUGCGUAGAGAUGUGGAGGAACACCGAUGGCGAAGGCAGCCUCCUGGGCCAGCACUGACGCUCAUGCACGAAAGCGUGGGGAGCAAACAGG
rnacentral:rRNA from 1 species